ACAACGGCUCUUUUAAGAGCCACACACUUUCUACAAAGAGCAACU
rfam:Tetraodon nigroviridis chromosome undetermined SCAF14565, whole genome shotgun sequence.